rnacentral:rRNA from 1 species
UACGUAGGGUGCGAGCGUUGUCCGGAAUUAUUGGGCGUAAAGGGCUCGUAGGCGGUCUGUCGCGUCGAAAGUGAAAACUCAGGGCUUAACCCUGAGCCUGCUUCCGAUACGGGCAGACUAGAGGUAUGCAGGGGAGAACGGAAUUCCUGGUGUAGCGGUGGAAUGCGCAGAUGUCAGGAGGAACACCGGUGGCGAAGGCGGUUCUCUGGGCAUUACCUGACGCUGAGGAGCGAAAGUGUGGGGAGCGAACAGG